rnacentral:ncRNA from 1 species
UUUUACUUGACUUACACAUGCAAGUCUCCGCACACCCGUGAGAACGCCCUUUUACCCAUAUAUGGACAAGGAGCUGAUAUCAGGCACUAUAAACUGCCCAAAACAUCUGGCUACGCCACACCCACAAGGGCCCCCAGCAGUGAUUAACAUUAAAAAUAAACGUCAGUUUGAUUCAGCCAAUGAAAACAGAACCGGCCAAUCUGGUGCCAGCCGCCGCGGUUACACCAAGUGGUUCAAAUUGAUCUCCCCCGGCGUAAAGCGUGAUUAAAGGAAUAACCCAUGGGGCCAAACUUAAACUAAGUCGUAACACGCUUGUUCUUAAGAAAGCCACACCACGAAUACCCCAACCAAACAACUUGAAUUCACGAUAACUAGGACACAAACUGGGAUUAGAUACCCCACUAUGCCUAGUCAUAAACUCUAACUUACCCUACCACCUCGCCCAGGAACUACGAGCAAAGCUUAAAACCUAAAGGACUUGACGGUACCCCACAUCCAUCUAGAGGAGCCUGUCCUAUAACCGAUACCCCACGUUUAACCUCACCAUUUUUAGUUUUCAGCCUGUAUACUUCCGUCGCCAGCUUACCGCAUGAGCGCUUCCAGUAAGCUUAAUGUUUAUUCCCCCAGUACGUCAGGUCAAAGUGCAGCAAAUAAAAUGGGAAGAGAUGGGCUACACUUUCUACUAUAGAAAAUACGAAAGACUACAUGAAAUACCAAUUAGAAGGCGGAUUUAGCAGUAAGCAGAAACAGAAUAAUCUCCUUAACCCGGCACUGGGGUGUGUACACACCGCCCGUCACCCUCUUCAACAUAUACCUCACAGUUUAUAACACCUAUUCACACCUAGAAGAGACAAGUCGUAACAUGGUAAGUAUACCGGAAGGUGUACUUGGAAG